AUUGAUCCACGGUUUGCGAAACUGUCGUGCGGUACUUGGUGGCUUUCGUAUUUAUACGUGCGUAUUCCGCAAAUAUGUAGUUUUAAUGAUACAGCGCAUUAAAGAUCUAUCCAAGACCCGUUCUUUUUUCGGGUUGUUGUACAGUGCCAAGAAGUCCGGUACCGAUUUACAAAAACUGCUAACAGGUGUGACGUUUACAAUCAAUAUCUACUAUGAAUAAACAUAUAUCAGUGUGUAAUAUCAAGUCUACCUGGACUGAACCAUGCAAGCAUGCUCAUUAUUCUUAAUCUACCACCCAGGCACCGACAAAAAACUCAAAUAAUAUCUUAAAUAUCGGGAAUGGCGAUUCUGUCCCAACCAAACAUUGUGAGGAUCGUAGAAAUUUCUACAAAGAAAGAGAGAGAAAAUCCACACCUUUAAGGUGAACUACAUACAAAUAAGGCGGCCUGUAGUUGACAUCCAGAGAAGAGGACCAGUGCAUUGUGUCGACCCGGUUGCCACAACUGCAAAGGAAGCAGACCGGGAAGAUUUAUAUGAUCGUUUGAUCAAUGUUGGAAGAUUAGGAACAAGAAGAGUUCAGUGGAUGUCAAGAAGCCUUUUGCAUCUGCAUGUAUUGAAUUUGUACAGGUGCAGAUUGGUAGCAGUUACAGCCAGGUUUCCAGUAACUGGGUACAGAUGGCAAGCAUCCAGGGGCAUUGUUGACGGAGAUCCACUUGAGGUCAUCACACUGCAGUGAGCCGGUGGAAUAUAUAAGGUGUUUAACUGUGAGUCAUUUAGGAGAAGUGUUGUAAGCUUUUCCAAGUGCCAUGGGAGAUGUUAGAAGUACCCCAUCCCAAAGCAGUUGUGCUGUGGGACCCAAACAGCGGAUAAAUAAAAGGCUUAUAUAAUAUAUCAAAGAUAUAUCCUGUUCAGCAAGAUGUUCCAGUGCUGUUCUGAUGAUGCAGCAGGUGCUGUAGGGGUCCAUCCACUGGCCAGCUGAGCUGGUGGCAGAUGACCUGGAAGACAUUGUCAAGACUGAAUUUAAUUAUUAAAAAUGUCUUGCUAAUAAAUGAACAUAACAUUGUAUUACUUUUGUAUCUGAUGUCCAACUGUUAACAUUAAAAAGUUGUGAUAUGUCA